GGGUUGAGCCGUCCCGCUAGUAUUGUGUGGCCACCCGCAUAAGAUACCUAUGAUUCAAACUGCCGCGAGAACCUCUUCCCUCCAACCUCCACGCUCGCCGCGUUUGGUGUGGCCUCACCUUAAGAGGGCUAGUAAUCGUCACCGGAGAUAUAUCUUCCACCAGAGGCACUGGGGAGGGAGAAGAGGUUGGGAGACCAGCAGUCCCCUCGGAACGGUCUACAGGAGACGGGGCACUUCCGUGUUGCUGGGAGGCGAGAAAAAACUGGAUGCCGCAUUCGUAGGAGUCUGGUGGCUAUCUGUGCGAUUGUCUAUCGAUCCCUGCACUCCUUUGAUCGCAUCCCAGAUCCGUGCCUGUAAUGGACCGUACACACAUUUUGUAUGCCCCUCGGCAAAUUCUGAAGAGACUGGACGCAGGAGUUUCAUGUGGAAUAAACAACGUGGGAACUCUCUGUGUACUCUGAGGAGAUGGCCAAUGUGCAGAACAGGUUAAUCUAGGUGAGCCAAGAAAUGACUUGUAUGGCAAUGAAGAUGCCAAGAGAUGAAGAAGAAUUGCCCCUUUUCGGACAUUGCUGAUGAAGACGAAUCACUGCGCAUUUGGAUGCUCGCAUAUUUAUGUCAUUAGUGUUUAAGUUGUAAAAGUUUCUCAACGUAAAAGUUAUGUAAACUCAUGGUUGGUUGUUGAUAUAGCAAGUUCUGUACAGGCCCACUAGGUUGUAUGGCUAGAAAGUCUUAUGGCUCACCCGAAGGAUCUUACAGAAGUUGAAUACGAGAAAUUGGAUCUAAGGGGAUUACUUCCUAUUAAAAGAGAAAACCAGUUUGUUCGUCCUUCUCCACGGUUUAGAAUUGUCCCACUACCACCCAAGUCAAGAACAGUUGAAGUGACUGACACACUAAACUAUUGGUUCAUUCGUAUUCAUGCUUGUAAAGGUACCUCCUUAGAUGAACUACUACAAAGUGUGUGAAACAUCUCUGUCAUCGUUCCUGUCUCUCUACCAUCACCUGGCCUCAGCGGUGUGGUUGGUAUGAUAUUAGCGUCUCACCUCGGUGGUCGCGGAUUCGAUUCUCGGCCAUUCCAUUGAGGAGUGAGAGAUGUGUAUUUCUGGUGAUAGAAGUUCACUCUCGACAUGGUUCGGAAGUCACGUAAAGCCGUUGGUCCCGUUGCUGAAUAACCACUGGUUCCAUGCAACGUAAAUCCACCAUACAAAAAACAAAAAGUCACCUGGAAUCAUGACCUUUCUUUACAGAAUUGCUUUGCUUUUCCAAACUACUACACUCACCAUCCCUUUCUUUUGAUGUCUUCGCUCUAGGAAAUUUAACGAAUUCAUGUAUAUUGUUAAGGUCGAGUACUUUAACGAGCUGUUAGAAGUCAGUCCAUCAGGAGUACGUUUUUAGGGUCUAAGUUGUACACCUUGCUCUAGCUGUGUAGGAGUCCAGAAUGGUAAGGAGUUCUUACUUCUGUGCUGCAUGAUUGUCAGUAAUGAUCAGUUGUCUGUCUCUUAGGAUUAACCUUCUCCCUCUAUUCCUAAACAGUUAAGAUACUUGCAAUCUGUUUAAGUAUCCAAGUGUGAGAAGUUUGCAAUUCACAGACACAGCUCUCAGUUUUCAGUCUAUACUUGUCCCCUCACUUUUUUAUAUAACUCAUUCAUUUUAUUCAUUUUCCUUAUCAUAAUACAUGAGCUUCCCUUGUUAUUCACUGGGCUUGCCAACCUUUUGGCAAUGCUGACUGGUACACAUUUGAUUUGCAAGGAAUUUUAGCUAAGGAGAGCCACCUGUAGACAAGAGAGGACCUUACCCUAUAGGUGGAGGACACACUUCCUAGUAACCAUCAUUGUCUUAGAGAUAAAAUGGCUGGUUGGUUGUCUGCUCUUCAAUUGAAAAUAGUGCUAGUACUAAGAGGGUUGAUGAAUGGGAAGUAUAAAUCGGUAACAUAAAUAUGUACCUUUUCUAGUUAAUCCAGAUAUAUUACAUUUUGUGAAAAGUUAAAAAGUGCACGAUUUGAAAAAUGAGAUAUGUAUUACAUUUCAAUCAUUUAUACUCCCAAAAUGCAAAUAUAGUAAUGCCCCAUAGUUUUCAAAUUUCAAUCAGAGCUCAUUUAUAAAUAAGGUUGACAAAGGCGUAGGCCUACGGAGCAAAUUUAGGCUUGUAUUUCUCUAUUUGUUGUAAACAGAGUUAAUUGUGGUUUGGGUUUAUUUACAGUUUUAAGUUUUAGUCUAAGGUUUUGUUGUUUAGCUUUUCCCAAUUCUUCCUAACGGCACUGGGGCCCAUUUUGUACAGGUUGAAAUAUGUCCAUAAUGGGACAGCAAAUGAACUCUACUUCAGUCUAGAUUAAAAUGUUGCUUGUCCCACAAAAAAACAAAAUUGGUACAGGGAUAAGAUAAGAGAAUUGGUGAAGUAUGAAGCCUUUAAGGCUACCAUAGGGAGGUUGUUAGAGAUUUUAUAGGCCUAAGAAGAGCUUGUUAAUAGCCAAAAUGCACGUUUUAAGGUUUGGCAGUAUUGUAUUAUGUAAUUAUCAGUUUAUCUAUCAAAAUGAGUGAUAUUUUGAACGUUUCUUGUACAUGUCAAGUACAUCUUGAUUUUUUUUGUAAUUAUAUGGAAUUUCAAUAUUCGGUUUUGUCAAAUAAAUUUUGUGUUGGGCGUUUUGUCAAGCCUCUUUCUCUCUCUCUUUUCCAUGUUGCCAAAGGUACUACAUAGUUGUUGGAUUACAAAAGCCUGCGAUGCCCUGCGACCUGCGUAGAGUCAUUGUAUGACCUCAUUUAGAAAACUGUCAAAAUCUGGAGAAUAAGAACUUUGAGGUCAUCUGUCUUCCAGGCAAAGCGGCCAUAGGAUUGUGAUCUGUUUUCCAGCCAUAUGGUUAUAGUACUAUUGCAGCUUGGUAGAAGGUUCCAUGGUUGGCCAUUUUGAAUCUGAGAUUAUUUCGUCAACAAACUUUCUUGGUCAUUUGUAGUGUCUAUGCGUUGUAGAGAAUUGAAUGCCUUCGUCUACUGCAAGUGGUGUUAUGUCAACCUGAUCUGUUCCAGAGGUCUUUUCAUUUGCUGGAAGUGCAGUACUGGAAGUGUUUUCUAUGUAUGUUGGUUCUGUGGUAUUUAUUUAAUUUUGCUUUGCAGAUUUUACAGUUUAUGUCGUCUUUGCUGUAGUGCUCAGAACAAGAAGAAAAUAUCUUUUACCAAGAUUUUCCUUGUAUGUCAAUGGUUUAGUUAUUUCUGUAAGAAUUGUCAGUAGAUAAUGAACAGCUGUAUAAGGAAUCAAGUUCUCGCUCCCCAAUUAACUGGAACAAGCUGUGAUCCCAUGCUAAAAUUGUUGUGGGUUCUCUCAACUAGUCCUAAGAUUAAAGGACCCUUUGAUUCACAGGCACCAGAACUUCCCCCAGUUCAUCGUGGACUUGAUCCUAGUAUCCUAACUUGUUACGUCCUGUGAUCUUUGUACUAAAUAGAUCUUAGGUGUUUGAACAUCUCUUAAUCUCUGAUUAUAGCAACAGUGUCAUCCAUUCCUUGAUGGUUUGGUUAGCAAUUUAGUGUGUGUGUCAUGGAGGUAAAGUCAUCGUCAUCUUGUAGAAUGAUGGUCUCUUGUUCUCGCUUCCAAGUUGGAUAUUGAGACAUAUUGGUCUGUUUACAGAGGUGGACUUAACCAGAAAUAACCUCUUGUGGAGAAGGGGCUACAUUUCAGCCCCUCUUUUGUGCUAUCCUCCUUCCCAUAGAGCCCUUUUAGAUCUAUAAUAGGUCUAUAUAUGUAAUCUCGGUUUGCCUUCUUUUACAGCAUAGAAUUCCUUGUCACAUCUUGAAGGGCGGGACCUGAUUUUGACCACAUCUCAAGGGGUACUACCUUCCCCCGUUCAUCAUUGGUUACUUAAACUGCCUUUAUGACCAUGUCAGGAGGUCUUAUGGACACCUGACAUCAAGCUAUCAGCUUGAAGACCUUGGCUGUGGAUAUAGGUCUAGUGUUUUGCUGAAAAGUGGCCUUAUGUCUUGCUUGUUGUAGAGAGUUUAAAGUAAAUAUACGCAUCUCUCUCUCUCUCUAAGACAUUACAUAUAGCAAAUAAGCUAUAAUAAGUCAAAGAAGAUUAUUAAAGGUAUGCUUAUGACGUCAUAUGAAAAGGCUCCUUACCUUUGCUAGACCUAUACGUAAUAAGACAUUUGAAUGAACGUAUAAUUAAGUCAUUAUAAAGUAACGAUAAUCGAUUAUAUUAAACGUAACGUCGUUGAAAAGAUACUUUUAAGGACGUAGAUUGAAGUAAUCCUUGAUUGAAGUAUAAUUGAUUUUCGUAACGAUGUCGUCAUCCUGAGUGUCUGCCAUAUUGUAAGUAGGUACAAAGGCUUUUCAUAUAACGUCAUAGCUCGUUUACGUAAUGGUAAUAGCGUAAUUAAUGUAUAAAUAAACAGACAUUUGUAUGAACAUUUUGAGGAAAU